rnacentral:tRNA from 2 species
GCUCUCGUAGCUCAGUUGGAUAGAGCGACAGCCUCCUAAGCUGUAGGCCGCGCGUUCGAAUCGCGCCGAGGGCA